rnacentral:rRNA from 1 species
UUGAACGCUGGCGGCAUGCUUUACACAUGCAAGUCGAACGGCAGCACGGGUGCUUGCACCUGGUGGCGAGUGGCGAACGGGUGAGUAAUGCAUCGGAACGUGCCCAUGAGUGGGGGAUAGCCCGGCGAAAGCCGGAUUAAUACCGCAUACGCCUUUAGGGGGAAAGCGGGGGGAUCUUCGGACCUCGCGCUAUUGGAGCGGCCGAUGUCGGAUUAGCUAGUAGGUGAGGUAAAGGCUCACCUAGGCGACGAUCCGUAGCUGGUCUGAGAGGAUGAUCAGCCACACUGGGACUGAGACACGGCCCAGACUCCUACGGGAGGCAGCAGUGGGGAAUUUUGGACAAUGGGCGCAAGCCUGAUCCAGCCAUGCCGCGUGAGUGAAGAAGGCCUUCGGGUUGUAAAGCUCUUUCAGGUGGAAAGAAAUAGCGCUGUUUAAUAGAUGGCGUUGAUGACGGUACCACCAGAAGAAGCACCGGCUAACUACGUG